rnacentral:rRNA from 1 species
UACAGAGGUCUCAAGCGUUGUUCGGAUUCAUUGGGCGUAAAGGGUGCGUAGGCGGCGCGGUAAGUCGGGUGUGAAAUCUCGGGGCUUAACUCCGAAACUGCAUUCGAUACUGCCGUGCUUGAGGACUGGAGAGGAGACUGGAAUUUACGGUGUAGCGGUGAAAUGCGUAGAUAUCGUAAGGAAGACCAGUGGCGAAGGCGGCCUGCUGGGCAGUAGCUGACACUGAUGCGCGACAGCGUGGGGAGCAAACAGG